rnacentral:rRNA from 1 species
CACGUAGGGUGCGAGCGUUGUCCGGAAUUAUUGGGCGUAAAGAGCUCGUAGGCGGUGUGUCGCGUCGGCCGUGAAAACUUUCAGCUUAACUGGGAGCUUGCGGUCGAUACGGGCAUCACUGGAGUUCGGCAGGGGGAGACUGGAAUUCCUGGUGUAGCGGUGAAAUGCGCAGAUAUCAGGAGGAACACCAAUGGCGAAGGCAGCUCGCUGGGACGGUACUGACGCUGAGACGCGAAAGCGUGGGGGAGCAAAACAGG